GUCAAUUUAGUGAACCGCCAAGUAGUGGGGAUGGAGAGAAGAACCACUCCGCGUCGUGGCCCGUUGCACAUUAGUUCUAUCCUUGUCGAACUGAUACCAACUCUCGUCCUUGCCUUCUUCUCUCUCUUUCUCUCUCUCUUUCUCCUUCUCUCUUUAUUCUCACUAUAUCUUUCUCUUUCUCUUUCUACCUCUCAUUCUCUCUUUUUCUCUCUCUCACGUUCUUCGUUCCAAAAGAGAAUGAAGAGAAACGCGCGAGCGCGCUCGGGGUCUACCUCGCGCGGUAGUCAAUACCUACACCUGCUCGAUUUACCUGAGGGAAAGGAGGAGAGAAGCAGCAGCUUGAGAGAUGAUCGGUACCAGAUCAACAUUGUAACAACCACCAACAUCAUCACACAGACAAAUAUGCUACAGCAGACAAUGAAGUAGAUACAAGAGUUUUGUUUAGGUGUAUACUUUCUCUCUUUCUUUUCAUUAAUUAAUUAAAUAUUAUAAAUAAUGCGCAUAUAUGUAUGUAUACGCAUGUUACGAUACGCUAUCUAAACUUUAAUUCUAUCUUUCUAUUUAUCUAUCUUUCUCUCUUUCUUUCUCUCUCUCUCCCUCUUUCUUACGGAUUGUAAAAUCAAUCGUGUUUCUCUUUUGACACUGAAAAAUGUUAAAAUAACUUUCCUUUUUGAAGAAAGAAGAGAGAGAAGACGCUCGUCGUAAUCUAUCUCUUCCUAUGUUCUUUACCGUACGUUCGUACAUACAUACAUAUAUGUAUAUACCAUCGUCCUACAUCUUGUCUCCGUUGUUUUCCCUGAGAAAGGUGUAUAAACGUUUCCUUAGGGACAAGGAUUCAGAAUACAUGUCAUGCGAACAUUCCCUUUGUAAAAUAAAUCGUUUCCUUGAGAGAAACGACUAUGUGGAA
rnacentral:lncRNA from 1 species